AUGCAAGGGCAGAGGAAUUCCGUCGAACAGCUGUCCGACGUCUUCGGGUUUGACCAUGGGUCUGGUUCGGGCAACCCCGUCAUGGACCAGCAGGCGUACUGGAACAGCAUGCUUGGAGCGGCGGAGUCGCAGAACCUCCAAGGCUACGAGAUGAACCGCGGUGACGGCGCCAUUCCGUAUGGAGGCGAGGCGCAUCAAGAUGGCCAGUUCUUGGGUUUCUGGGGGUCAGGUGAGGCUAGCUCGAGUGGCAAUGCGCUCAACUAUGGGAGCUCCAACGCGAUCAAGGCUGAGCAUCUGAACAUUGGUGGUGGUUUGAGGAUCGGUGAGAGGCGCCUGGGUGCUGAGCACAGCCUUUCUUUGGAUAAUGUGGAUAUCAACCUUAACGCCAGUGGCCAUGAUCUCUUCGGUCAGAGUUCCAAUGCGAACAACGCCUCUCAAGGCUCACAGCAGCAUGCUGGGUGUUCCCGUACUGAUGCCACCGCCCAGGCCACUGAGCUAAGAUUGCAUCCUUACAGAACUUUUGGUUUAGACGACGAGCAGCCGGAGCCGUUCCCUUCUUUGAAUGCUUUCGAACAUCCUUUGGGGAAUUUUGCCCUGAUGCCAGAGGACGUUGAUCAAAGACCAGGCAGUAGUUCCCUGGACGGCCGACGUUUAGCGUGCAAGAGGAAAAACAUCGAAGGAGUCCAUGGGCAGUUUUCAGCAGGUGCUAGCACAAGCUUUUCCCACAGAAAUGAUAAUGCCUUCCAUAGUGUUCCUUCCUCAAGUUUCAAUCCGGCUCCUGGCCCAAAUGUGCCGUCUCAUAACUUCUUGUUGGCUCCAAGUUCCAUCGAGGAACAACUCCCGAACUAUGGAGCUGCUACAGGAAUGUCAUCUGUUAGCUACAAUCAUCCUAGCGGAGGCAAUAACAUUUCAGGAAAUUCACAGAGAAGUUUUCGGGCAAGAACUACCACCGCUCAGCAGGUUAGCCCCUAUGGUGUAUGGCCCCCUUCAGGUUCUAUCAGGCAUCCCGGUUCAUAUUAUCACCAGGCGCCUGCCUUUCAGAGCGCAUUUGAUGAACUAGAAGCGGCUAUGCCUGUGGUCAGUGGAAUCAACUUGCAAUACCAGCAUCCUGGAAAUGUAGUCCCUGGUAUUCCACAAACCGCACACCGUUUUGCUGGCCAUGGAGCUUCAUCGUCAAGAGCUGGCAGUUUGGACAACAUAAUUCUUGGCAGAGAGGAAGUUAGUGGGAGGAAUCUUGUAGCUCCCGGCUUCCCUAAUGCGGCCCCUCAUGCUGCACUAGACAUGAGACAUUUGGUGCCAGAUUUGUCUAAUUGGAAUUCUGACAAUCCUGGUGCUACCAUCCCUGGAAAUGUGUCUUCUGUAUCAAGAGCUAAUGCCAGUUCAACGAUUAGUCGACCAGCAGGCUCAACAUCUCUCACUCAUCAGAACCUACAUCGACGGCACCCUAGAAAUUUAUCAGAGGAAAUAGGUCGUCUAUCUGGAGCACUUCGUGGUCCGCAGCACCCGCGCAUAAGGUCAGGGUUUCUAUUGGAACGUCAGGGUGAUGGUGUUUGGGGUGUUCCAUUACCAAUGAGGAAUACUAGGGAGGGAAGAAGAUUAAUGGAGAUACGGAAUGCACUAGAAAUGAUUCAGAGAGGGGAGAAUGUCAGAUUUGAGCAGUCUAUUUUCUAUGGUGGCGUCGAGAUUCAUGAUAGACACAGGGAUAUGCGUCUUGACAUAGACAAUAUGUCUUAUGAGGAACUAUUAGCAUUGGAGGAAAGAAUAGGAAAUGUUAGCACUGGGCUCACCGAGAACGAUGUGAUGAAGCUCCUGAAGCAAAGGAAAUUCUCGUCAUGGAGAUUAUCAUCUGUGGAACAUGAGCCAUGCUGUAUUUGUCAGGAAGAAUAUGUGGACGGUGACGAUCUCGGGACGCUUCACUGCGGGCACGACUUCCAUGCCAGCUGCAUCAGGCAAUGGCUAGUGGUGAAGAACCUGUGUCCGAUCUGCAAAAGCACCGCCCUGAAGACCUAA
rnacentral:rRNA from 1 species